CUGGUGUACGUCGUAUUCAAUUCAGACGUAAAUUUUAGAUCUCAAGAGCAUAUUGUAUGAAUUUUUAGUGCAGUCAAGCAUAUAUUCGCAGAUUUGAUGACUUUUUCGGACUAUUUGUCAAAGUGUGCAAGACGUUUGGAGUGAUUUGCCCCUCGGCUGACACUACUUGAAUGUUUUCAGAGUUAUGGUGCUGUUCUAGAUCUGU